GAUGAACGCUGGCGGCGUGCCUAAUACAUGCAAGUCGAGCGAACAGACGAGGAGCUUGCUCCUCUGACGUUAGCGGCGGACGGGUGAGUAACACGUGGAUAACCUACCUAUAAGACUGGGAUAACUUCGGGAAACCGGAGCUAAUACCGGAUAAUAUAUUGAACCGCAUGGUUCAAUAGUGAAAGACGGUUUUGCUGUCACUUAUAGAUGGAUCCGCGCCGCAUUAGCUAGUUGGUAAGGUAACGGCUUACCAAGGCGACGAUGCGUAGCCGACCUGAGAGGGUGAUCGGCCACACUGGAACUGAGACACGGUCCAGACUCCUACGGGAGGCAGCAGUAGGGAAUCUUCCGCAAUGGGCGAAAGCCUGACGGAGCAACGCCGCGUGAGUGAUGAAGGUCUGCGGAUCGUAAAACUCUGUUAUUAGGGAAGAACAAAAGUGUAAGUAACUAUGCACGUCUUGACGGUACCUAAUCAGAAAGCCACGGCUAACUACGU
rnacentral:rRNA from 1 species